AAAACGAGUCAGGGGUAUGAAAUUUACCUCGAUCGGCGGUCGAAAAUCUCUCCGGUGCGGCGGCGGCCGGCUCCUCCAGCGUCUGGUUCGUCUUCUCCGGCGAGGGCAGGCGGUUAGGGUUUUUGUGGUCAGGUGUGGGGGUUCUAUUUAUACCCUUUUGUCUUUUGAUCUCAGCCGUCCAUUUUGAUUUAAUCUGGGCCGUCCGUUUUUGAUUGAAUCUGGGCCGUCCGUGCACGUGCAUUUGGGCCGUCCGUGCGAU
rnacentral:lncRNA from 1 species